rnacentral:rRNA from 1 species
GACGAACGCUGGCGGCGUGCCUAAUACAUGCAAGUAGAACGCACAGUUUAUACCGUAGCUUGCUACACCAUAGACUGUGAGUUGCGAACGGGUGAGUAACGCGUAGGUAACCUGCCUGGUAGCGGGGGAUAACUAUUGGAAACGAUAGCUAAUACCGCAUAAUAUUAAUUAUUGCAUGAUAAUUAAUUGAAAGGUGCAAUUGCACCACUACCAGAUGGACCUGCGUUGUAUUAGCUAGUAGGUGAGGUAACGGCUCACCUAGGCGACGAUACAUAGCCGACCUGAGAGGGUGAUCGGCCACACUGGGACUGAGACACGGCCCAGACGCCUACGGGAGGCAGCAGUAGGGAAUCUUCGGCAAUGGACGAAAGUCUGACCGAGCAACGCCGCGUGAGUGAAGAAGGGUUUCGGAUCGUAAAGCUCUGUUGUAAGAGAAGAACGGGUGUGAGAGUGGAAAGUUCACACUGUGACGGUAUCUUACCAGAAAGGGACGGCUAACUACGUG